GACGAACGCUGGCGGCGUGCUUAACACAUGCAAGUCGAACGGAAAGGCCCUGCUUUUGUGGGGUGCUCGAGUGGCGAACGGGUGAGUAACACGUGAGUAACCUGCCCUUGACUUUGGGAUAACUUCAGGAAACUGGGGCUAAUACCGGAUAGGAGCUCCUGCUGCAUGGUGGGGGUUGGAAAGUUUCGGCGGUUGGGGAUGGACUCGCGGCUUAUCAGCUUGUUGGUGGGGUAGUGGCUUACCAAGGCUUUGACGGGUAGCCGGCCUGAGAGGGUGACCGGCCACAUUGGGACUGAGAUACGGCCCAGACUCCUACGGGAGGCAGCAGUGGGGAAUAUUGACCAAGGGGCGGAAGCCUGAUGCAGCAACGCCGCGUGCGGGAUGACGGCCUUCGGGUUGUAAACCGCUUUCGCCUGUGACGAAGCGUGAGUGACGGUAAUGGGUAAAGAAGCACCGGCUAACUACGUG
rnacentral:rRNA from 1 species